rnacentral:misc_RNA from 1 species
AACGGUCUAUACCUGCGGUACCUGCGGAAGGAUCAUUAGUGAACGCCCUCGCGGGCUUAUAACUAUUCCAAACCUCUGUGAACCGUGCCCUUCGGGGCUAUUUUACAAACAUGGUGUAAUGAACGUCAUAUAUCAUAACAAAACAAAACUUUCAGCAACGGAUCUCU